UUACACUCCUCACUAUCUUUCACACAGGUGCAAAAUAUUCAUAUUUUGUUAGCCCAAAGACACGAGGUGACACUGGAGGUGCUGGCUGGGAGUGGGAACAGCAGCUUUUCAGGAGUCAAACUUCAAAUCCACUGUGGAAACAUCCCUGAACCACCUGCACCCUGUGGCUAUGUCAGACUGCCAUUCCCAGGCUAAUCCCAAUGGUUCCAUCUGAGAUGCUGCUGGGCAGGUAGGACAGGGCAGGGAACUGCACUGAGGGGACACCUCACCCUGGAGCAUCCCCAACAUGUAACAAAAAACCUCAUUUUUUCUCAAGUAAGGAGCAUCCAGCAUUUCUCUGGGCUGACAGUGUCUGCCCCUCUGCCAGCAGCAUUUUCCCAGAGCAUUGGACCCCUCUGUUGGGGAAUGUGCCCAAGAAACCAACUCAGGAGCGGCUGCCUGAGGGGACCUGCUCCUGCACACUCCCCUCACUCCACACAGAUCUUGCAAAACGCAGCCUAGAACCUAAGCUGCUCCUCACUUUUCACUCAGCAGUUAAAAUAAAGCCCAGAAAAAGAGGCCAGCAGGUCUAGUGGCUCAAACUGGAGAUUAAAAGAAAAAAUUACCUCAGAGUGUUGGUUGAACAGGCCCUGGGUGUGUCCUCCACCAUGGUGCCUCACACAAGGCCGGUCCAGCCAGCCAUGGGGACAUGUCCUGGCCUGAGGGUCUCCUCUGGCCUGCACAGCUGACACCAGUGACAGCUCCCAGCUCCCAGUCACAGCCAGAGGUGUCCCAGCAGUGUCCUGGUCCCUCACGGACAAAGCUGCUGUGCUGCUGCCAGGAUGGCCCCUCCAGGUACACCCGGGAGCCUCGGCCUCUCCCAGGGGCUGUCCGUGGCAGAGUUUUCCCUCAGGACUCUCCUGCCAAAGCUGCUGCCUUCGGUGUAAGCGUGCAAGUUCCCUCAGCACAUGCCCUGGGGUGGUCACCACUGGCCAUGCCAGGUCAGACUGCCCCAGAUCCCUGCAGGACACAGCUCCAGGCUGUGCCCUCCCCACAAACAGCUCACAGCUCCUCAAGGAAGGAGCCACAGCACGUGCUCAUUAGCUACAUGGGUCAGUAAAUAAUUAUAUUUAAGUCACAUUAAAAAGCUGGAGCCAAAAAGCUGCAAACAGCUCCCAGCUGGAGUUCUCCAUCGAUUGAGAAGGGCAGCACUGUGGGUGGAGAGAUUAAUGGGUUGGUCCUAUAAACUUUGGCUUGGAAAUUUAGCACGACUGUGGAUGUCAGGUGAGGCGUGUACUGAGCAAACUCCUUCCCUGGUGCCAUCUGCGUAACUCAUGCACAGCGAAUGAAGCUGGUGUUUGGGAGGUGAGAACAGAACUGGGCAAUCCUUCUUUAAAUGAAGCACAGAAAGAGAGGUGGACCAGAGAGGAAGCUACCUGAAGGAUCCACAGAAGCAAGGACAGCCAUAUUGUCCCCAGAAACUAUUUCAAGAAAAUACAGAAAAGAGUGUAAUGGUACAUUGCAACAGUACUGAUAUCACUUCACUGAUGUUAUAAAUUACAGAAUGAGAUUAAAAAUAGUCAUAUGCCAUUUUUGCUGGCUGCUUUAUUUCAGUAACAAUGGAGCAAGUGAACUUUGCUCAUUUUCAUACUAAGCAGCCUUUGAAAUAAAAAAUAAAACCACCUCCUUGCUUCUAAGGCAGCUUUAUAUUCUGUGAAAUGGGUGUCAAAUUCAGUCAAAAAAUUUCUGCCCUGUGAGAGAGAAACAUACUCUUUUAUAGAUAAAAGGUUUGUUCUUUGGAAGAUUUAGGGGAUAUUGAUGAUUUUUCUCCCUUGAGACUUACCACAGUUGAUCUCACUGUGUCUGAGGGCUGGUGAGUGGGAUAUUGAUAAACAACAAGAUGUGAGAGAGGGAACAAUUUAAGGCAGGGUCAACAUUCCAGAAAUGAAACCACCAGCUCAAGAAGAGGCUGGAGGGAGGGAAGGACACUUCUAGGACCAGGUUCCUGUUUGCCAGAGUCACAGAUGUCCAGGCUCACAAUGCAUCUACACAGCUUCCCAAAUGCUGUGGGAGAGUGCUGUGCUACAAACCACAAGGGAAGGAGUUUAUUCAGCAUUUCCCAAAAUGUGAAGAGCGAGACACCCAAUCUCUCACAUCUGCAAGAGGAAGAUCUCCAGUCAUGCAGAUCCAGGGUUUGUCCUUAGGACACACUGCCACAGAAGCCAGGGAGGGAAGAGAAGGAAUAACUGAAGAAUUUUAGGCACUCUAAGAUGGAGAGUCUAUGAAUUGGUAAUGUUAUUUCUCUUUCCAUUUCAAUGGGCAAAGUAAGUCACUUGCCUGAUCCCACAAAAAUAAGCCCAGAAUGGAAGUUAACCUGAAAUGGGCAAUGUGUUCAAAUGAGGUUUUGGUCUGGUGCCCAUUUCAAGUAUAAAAGGAAGCAAAUUUGCUUUAGUGGAAAUAAAAGCUAAAAUCACCAAGUCAAGACUGUAACAUUUAAUUGUUUUAUUAUUUUGAAUUAACUGAAGCCAACAAGUGGAUAGAAUUGGUCUCAUAACAAUACUACAACAAUAAAUCUGCAGAGUGUGUGACAUUGCCUUACAAGAGACCAACCAGCUGAUACAACAUUCCUAAAAGAAGACAAAGAACUGCUAAUUAUGUUAAAUUUCAUUUGCUACGUAAUUUAGACCAUGACCUAGUGCUUCUAAAAAAACCUGUACAAAAUGAGUAUUUUUACAUCUCAGAGGCACAUGAAUACAAAUCUGAUCUAUUUUAUAUAUACACAUGUACAUUACAAGAAACCAGAUGAUUAGAGAAGUGUAUAUAAAAAGUGUUGAAAACCAGAUGAUAAAAUGUGAAAAUAAAAUGUUAUCUUCACAACAGAGAAGUAAAAGGCACAAGUACUAAAAUAUGUAACCAUGCAAAAAAUGUGACUAGUCUGUGCAACAGAGAAAAACAAAUGGCUCUCACAACUGAUUUUACAGUAAUUCUUAAAAUGUCUCAGUAUUUAAAUAUAUAUCAGUGCAACAUUUACUGCCCUGUAGUGUACUGAAGUGUUCACAGGAUACUAAAUUCUUGGUUCUCUUUCUGAUGUCCUUUCUCCAAAGCCAGAAUAAUUUAGCUAUGGAUAAGGUAGUAAAUAAAACAGGGCUGAUGCUGUGGAGUGCAAGGUCAUCACUGGGAGGAGGAGUGUCUGCAGCCCUCCUUACCAUCUGCACAGAUGUGUCCCCCAGAACAGUCACCUUCCACCCCUCACUGGGGCACAGCGGCUCUGAGGGGUUUCCAGGGUGUCACCGUGUCCAGAAUAGUGACAGCAAAGCUGACAGCUCACUGCUGCUCCACUCAUAGCACCUUCAUUCCAGGGCCAGCUGUCCAAAUUACACUGCAGAAGCCCAUGUUUGUCAAUGUUUUCAUUAGUAUAGCUAGUUUAAGUAAAAGUAAGUUUAAGUAAAAACGAAUCUCUCUAACAGUACGUUUGACCAGGUACUACUCUUGCAGUUGAACAAAAGCCCCAAACUGAAGGCAGCAAGCUGAAACCCAGGGUGCAGAGAACACCAGGAGCCCUGUCAGCUGGCUCCACACUGUGGCAAACUAUUGUAGUGUGGCCCUCCCUGCCUGCAGAUUUUCCCUGCAGAUCCUCAGUGGCUGCUGCUGCGACCUCUGUGAUGUGCUGGCCAUGCUGAGCUGCAGGCCUGAGCCUCCCAGAGUGUGGCAGUAGAGCAUGUUGUGGGACACCUGGACAGAAUUGAGGCACAUCCCAGGGAUCCCUCACCUGGAUCCCUUCAGGGUUACUCACCCUACCUGCUUGGAUACCAUGAGAAUCAGCUACAACGUUUUGUCAUGGGACACAACCAGUUUUCAUGACCACAAAGAAGGCAAGGGUAGGACUGGCCUGAUACGAAGACAGGACUGAAAUUCUUGCCUUGGUAGCUAAAGUCACACUGAAGCCAAGAAUAUCGAAUUUGUCCCUCCCAUCUGCUCAAAGAGCCGCCCCAAGGCACACAGACACCUGACAGUGGCUGGGGACAAGUCCAAGAGUGUAAAUGUCAACACAACACUGAGGAAGAGUCCCAGAAACAACUCUCUCACACAUCAGAGCAACUCCCUGUGCAUUAUGCAGAAUGACAGGAUGCGGACCCAACACCAACUGCAAUCCUCAUCAAACUCUAAAGGUACAUGCAGAGUUUCAUUAACUAGAAACCCAUGCAUGAUUUAACAGCAAACUGCUCCUAGGAGCAAUACUUUGAAUUCAAAAAUACUGAGAUGCAAGGGAACAAAUAGUCAGAACUGUGGAACUAUGUCCUUUAAAACCAACCAGCUGUUUUACAUCACCUGUCAUGAUUUCUUGACAAUAUUUCUUGAGUAACAAAUUACUUGACAAGAACAUGAGCAUUGCUACUUACACCAGGAACUGCUCAUGUAAAGUCUGAGUCAAGUUUUCACUUAAAUCAGUAUAAGCCAAGCCACUGAUCUGGCAAGUGUUUGAUCAGCUGCUACUUCCUUCCUUCCUUGGAAAAAAUUCCCUCAGACCACACCAUACAGUAUUUGUUUUAAAAGAAAACCACUGCAUAUUCACUGUCAUUAAAGAAUGUAAAAAAACCAUUCUUUUAUUUGUAAAUUCUACUUCUUAGACUCAUCACAUGUCACGGGCACUAUGAUGCACAGACCACUGAGUAGUGUCUCGUGUAGCAGCCCACAAUGUGUGUUUAUAUAUCAGCUUCCAAGCCCCAUUUACAAACCAGAUUAGGGAGCCUAAACACUGUCGGUCUAGAUCCUCUCUGAAGAGAAAUGCAGUUCUACCAAAGUAAAUGGAGCAUUGCUGCACUCAGACAGCAAAAUAUUUGUUGAUACACAUCUUUGAGAAUUAAUAAUGCUGUGUUCAACUCCCUACAGAGCUGGCUGAGAAAUAUCUGAAUUUUUCCCAAAGGCCAUGAAAGGAAAGUUGGCAACAAAAGUACACUGGAUGCUAGGGUUUUUUUGAAACUUCCUAUAUAUUUGCAUAUUAAAAAUUCCUUAAAAAUAGAUGGGAUGGUUACAGUUCAUCAAUGUUGCACUUCAAGACAAAUUCUCAAAGAGCUUCAGUCUUAAAUAGAAGCUAUUCAAAAAGCUGAAAAAUCUUCUUUUGAUGUCAAAGCAAUUUUGAAUCAGCAUCAUUCUGAAAUCAGAACUAGGCAGCAGCUGAAGUCUGGAGGGAAGCAGCCAAUACCAGAAAAAUCUUGAGAGACUACAUUUCAGGUACUCUUUAAGUGCAAUUUUGGAAAGAGGUAAUUUUUCUGCAGUACCUUGUGUGGGACUGGCCUGACUAUGGGCAGCUUCUAGCCAAAAUCCAGUCAUUUUUUUUUCACUGUCCAGAAAUACCUGUAAUGGUUUGCAACAGGUUUGACCAGAAUAUCAUUUAACUUUUCAGAAUGUAAGGUCAAAUGAACCAAGGAACAGAUCAAGAUACAAUACCUGGGAUUGUGUUUGCUUCUCCAAAGGUUAAAUAGAACCACGGGUUUGGCACAGGAGUGUUUACUGCAUUUGUGUAUUGCUAGAAGGAGAUGAUACCACAUUUCUGUGUCUGAAGUGAUUUACCCAGGGAGGGGAGGCCCUUGUUCCACCAACAGUAACACUGACAGAGGCAGGCUGUGCUUUCCUGGCCAGCCUGAGAACACAAAGGAUGUCCACAGCAAAGAAAUAAGACAUUUAUCAGAGAACAGACAGCAAAAUGAGUUGUCUCCCUGUUUUUAACAUCUCCUGUCUGUUCUGCCAGUGUCUGUCUGACACUUGAUGAAAAUAUGCACUCUCUGCAAAACUGGUAUCAGAUCACUCUUUUCCCUGCCCCAGUGAGCCACCAAGUGAUCCUUUAUUACCAAAUUACCUGCAUGUCAUAAAACACAAUGACUUCUUUUCUGGGAUAAAAGGCUUCUCCAGGGCUUGAGUUGCAAGACAAGUUGGUCUAACAUUUGCAGUUACUCAGUCUAAGAAUGCAAUUGCUAAUUAGUAUUUUUAGAGGUGGAUACCUUAGAGGAAAAUAUAUCUGCCAGUGAAAUGCCUCUCCCACCUCCAACUCACAUUAUUUGUCAAACAUAGCAAGUAUCUGGAUAUGAUUUCCACAGUAACAGAUGGCAGUAUGACACCAAGGGCCCCACAGGAGCAGAAGGAUGCCUCCUUUACACAAUAAAACACAGCUACAAACACCA